rnacentral:rRNA from 1 species
GACGAACGCUGGCGGCACGCCUAAAACAUGCAAGUCGAACGAGAAGCUCGGAGCUUGCUCCGGGUGGAAAGUGGCGAACGGGUGAGGAACACGUGAGGAACCUGCCCCGAAGACCGGGACAACACCGGGAAACCGGUGCUAAUACCGGAUGCCCUCACCGGACCGCAUGAUCCGGUGAGGAAAUGGAUUCCGCUUCGGGAUGGUCUCGCGCACUAUCAGCUUGUUGGUGGGGUAAUGGCUCACCAAGGCUACGACGGUUAGCUGGUCUGAGAGGAUGUCCAGCCACACUGGGACUGAGACACGGCCCAGACUCCUACGGGAGGCAGCAGUUAGGAAUCUUGCGCAAUGAGCGAAAGCUUGACGCAGCGAUGCCGCGUGCGGGAUGACGGCCCUCGGGUUGUAAACCGCUUUCAGCAGGGACGAAAUUGACGGUACCUGCAGAAGAAGCCCCGGCCAACUACGUGCCAGCAGCCGCCGUAAAAC